rnacentral:rRNA from 1 species
UACGUAGGGUGCGAGCGUUGUCCGGAAUUAUUGGGCGUAAAGAGCUCGUAGGCGGUUUGUUGCGUCGGCUGUGAAAUCCCGAGGCUCAACCUCGGGUCUGCAGUCGAUACGAGCAAACUAGAGUGUUGCAGGGGAGACUGGAAUUCCUGGUGUAGCGGUGAAAUGCGCAGAUAUCAGGAGGAACACCGGUGGCGAAGGCGGGGUCUCUGGGCAACAACUGACGCUGGAGGAGCGAAAGCGUGGGGAGCGAACAGG